UACGGGGGGGGCAAGCGUUGUUCGGAAUUACUGGGCGUAAAGGGCGCGUAGGCGGGUGGACAAGUCUCUCGUGAAAGGCCACGGCUAAACCGUGGAAUUGCGGGAGAUACUGUCUGUCUUGACUCCGGGAGAGGAGGGUGGAAUUCCCAGUGUAGCGGUGAAAUGCGUAGAUAUUGGCAGGAACACCGGUGGCGAAGGCGGCUCUCUGGACCGGUACUGACGCGGAGGCGCGAAAGCUAGGGGAGCGAAAGGG
rnacentral:rRNA from 1 species